rnacentral:lncRNA from 1 species
UAACAUAAAAGGGGGAUAACUCUGUAAAGUCAGCUGAACGUUUUAAUUACGUUGUGUUGUAAAAGGAAUAUUAAGCUUCUCAAUGAUCAAAAUUGGUGUUUGUCAGACUGCUAUAUAACCAGUGUAAUUUUUCUGACAAAACGGUUGGUUCAAAAUUUUUGAAAUUUUUAUAUUUUUGUUAAAGGGUCAAAGUAAAUACUUUGACAAAAUUUUAUGAAAAUUAAACGAGCCAAAUUAAUU